rnacentral:misc_RNA from 1 species
CAGAGUUCCUGCCCUCACGGGUAGAAACCCCACCCUUGUGUAUUAUAUAUUGUUGCUUUGGCGGGCCGCCCCCUCGGGCACCGGCUCACGCUGGCUCGCGCCCGCCAAAGAACCCCAAACUCUGAAGUAUAGUGUCGUCUGAGUACUAUUUAAUAGUUA